rnacentral:lncRNA from 10 species
CUUGCCGUAAACCUAGAACAUUUUGUGCCAUCAGUUUAUGCAUUUGCUGCAAUUCCAGGACAAUGGGGAAAAUCCUGUUUUAUACUAACAACAACAACCAUGAAACUAUACUACUAGUAGCUGACAUUUACUGACUUCUUAUUAAAUGCCAUGCAUGGUACUGAGAGCCUUACAGGCAUUACCUCCUCAAAUCCUCAGGACUAUGAAAUCAUCCCUUAUUAUCUCUAUUUUCCAGGUAAGAAAAUUAAGGUCACCGGCUAUUCUGUAGUAGAGCCAGAAUUCAAACCUGGAGUCUGCCUUUUGAGGUACUAGUGGUGUUUUCCCCCCAGAUUAUGUAUUUUGGGCAUUGAUACUACUGAGUUUCCAUCUUUAGGUGCAUCUUCGCUGGUAUCAAUUGGAGGAACUGGAGAAGAUGCACUGGCGCUGUGAGACAGAAGUCAUUCUCAGCCAGGAGUGUCAUUUUCUCCUUGGAGUCUCUAACUUCAGGAUUCUGUGAUUUGGCCAUAAAUAAUAAAUAUGGUUUAGUAGAGGUUAAUAAAAUGUUUGUUGAAUUACUGCCAA